GGGCUGAGCCGGAGAUUGAUCCCAGGACCAUUCGCACCGUAAGUGAGAAUAACGCCACUAAACCACUCAGCC